GAAACGGAUCUGCUCCAUACAGCGCGUGGGAGAGGAGCUCUGCCCCGCGGAGAGUGGAUCACCAGGAUCCGCAUGUUACAAUGGGAUAUUCUGCACUUGCAUUGUCCAGCACUGGUCUUUAUUGAGCUGCUCAUCAUUUUCUAUAUACAGAGACGGAGUGAAAAAAAGACAUCAUUUCUGAAAAGCAAAAAUGUUGAACUC
rnacentral:lncRNA from 1 species